AGUGAACGCUGGCGGUAGGCCUAACACAUGCAAGUCGAACGGCAGCACAGUAAGAGCUUGCUCUUACGGGUGGCGAGUGGCGUACGGGUGAGGAAUACAUCGGAAUCUACUUUUUCGUGGGGGAUAACGUAGGGAAACUUACUCUAGUACCGCAUACGACCUACGGGUGAAAGCAGGGGAUCGUCGGACCGUGCGCGAAUGGAUGAGCCGAUGUCGGAUUAGCUAGUUGGCGGGGUAAAGGCCCACCAAGGCGACGAUCCGUAGCUGGUCUGAGAGGAUGAUCAGCCACACUGGAACUGAGACACGGUCAAGACUCCUACGGGAGGCAGCAGUGGGGAAUAUUGGGCAAUGGGCGCAAGCAUGAUCCAGCCAUACCGCGUGGGUGAAGAAGGCCUUCGGGUUGUAAAGACCUUUUGUUGGGAAAGAAAAGCAGCAGGUUAAUACCACGCUGUUCUGACGGUACCCAAAGAAUAAGCACCGGCUAACUUCGUG
rnacentral:rRNA from 1 species